UACUGUUUCGUCUGUUUUGUUCCAAUUGAUUUUGAAAGAAAAAGAAAAAAAAAAAAGAAGAAACUUUGCUGCUGUGUGUGAUGUUUCCUCUCUCUGUUUUCAGCAUUCAUAAGUCAUAACUUCUGUGUUGUGUUCCGCGAUUGCUUCUUGUUUUUCAGUUCUUACUACCCAAAAUCCCCCCUUAGGAAGUUAAAAAAUAACAAAUCUUAGGUGGAUUUUCUUCUCUUGAUUUGCGUUGUAAAAUUUGUGUUCCACUUUCUGUGUCUUUUACCUGUGAGUAUAUCGUGUCUCAGUUCAUAAAACCCAUAAAAAAAACACAAAAGGAAAACUUAAGUUUUGAAUCUGGCAAUCAUAUUAUUUUUGUAUUGGUUCGGAGAUCAGUGAAAGUUUUUUGGCCUUUUGCUUUCAAGUCUUCAUUACUGCUGUCUUGUGUCGAAUCAUCUUGUUUCAGUUGCCUUUACAUCCCCUUAUUUUGUUUUCAUUCCCAGAACUAGAAGAAAGAAUCCUUUAAUCAAGUAAUUGCUUAAGCCUUUGGAUUCGGUCAACACCAAGUCAAGAGAUUCAGAGAGGAAUAAAAAAAUUAAUGCUACAAAAGAAGAAGCGUAGCAACAACAGUAGCAAUAAAAGAACAACGAUGGAGAGAAAACACGCGAAGAAGAAGAAGGAGUGCGACGAAAAAGAAGGAGAAAUGCGAAGAAGAAGAAGGAAGAACGCAAGGAAGAAGAAGGAACAUGAAGACGAAGAAGGAUAUGUUUGCGUUAGUGUAACGAGCGUGUGUAUACGCUACGUGUAAUGAAAAUGAUUUUUGUUGAGUUUGAGUCAAUUUAAUUGGAUUUGGUUGUUAAAAAGACUUAGAGGUGUAUUAGAACUGGUAUUUUAAUUCAUUUGUUAACUU